ACAACAGCAGUAGCAGCAGAAACAGCGUUAACAAUGAUAAUUAUGAUACUCAUGAUAAUAAUAACCUUAAUAACCAUAAUAAUAA
rnacentral:ribozyme from 1 species